AGUUUGUUUCUUAGCCCUCCUCCAUGGCUGUGUGUGGGGAAAGGUGCAUUUCCUGGACCUAAAGAAGCUGGCAGUCAGAACCUUGCCAUGGGCUGCGCAGAGUAACUCCAUGGGGUUGACUGGAGAAGGCACUGAGUUUUCUUCAAUUAGUUAAGAUUUUGUUUUCCAAAUCAGUUAGAUUGGUCCAUGAGCAACUGGACUAUUACAAUCCUGUAUAAAAACAGAGAUUUUGAAUUUAAAGCAGAAUGACUCAUGACAAGAAAUUUAUAAUUUGAAAUUUGCAAAAGAUAAAGCUCAGAGCUCUGAAGGACUUUCAUAGAGCAUGAGACUGGGAACUCAGCGAGAGACACAGAUCUCUGAGGAGGCAUAUCUUAUUUGCUAGGCUGCCCCUAAGUGUUGGACUCCCUUAGGGUUCUAUCUAAAUCCUCCUAUCUUCUUUAUCUAAAUUCUCUUUCUAGCAGAUAUCCCAGCAUGGUUUAGAAUAUCAUCAAUAUGCUAAAUAAUUUUCAAAGUUUUAUUUUCAUUAAUGGAUCUAUCAUGAAUUUUCAACUUGUAUUCCUCCUAAAUCCAUGCACUUGGCUGUCCAAUGGACAUAUCAAAGUUGAAAUAGGCAAAAGAGAACUAUCAGUGUCCCCCUGCCUACAGCUGUGCUCCUCCACCAAACCUUUCCAUUUCACCAAACAGAACCAUGUUUCACUAAAUCAACCAUGUUUGUUGCUCAGGCCAUAAUUCCAGAAUUCAUCCUGGAUUCCUCUCCUUCCUCCCAGACUCACAUUUAAUCCAGUAAGUACUUCUGGCUCUCUCUCCAAAAUAAGUGCUGAAUGUUAUGUCUUCUUACUCUCUGCUCUGCUAUAGUUUCAGUCCAAGCCACCAGCAUCUGUCCUUGUAGGCUGCAAAAGCUCUUACUAGGCUUCCCUGCCUCCACACUCCCCAGAGUAGCCUAUUAAAUAUAAAUUAUAUAAUACCCUCCCUUGCUAAAAAUUAUCUAAUAGAUGCAUUCUCCUAACCUUUAGAAUAAAAUCCAAGCUAUUCACCAUGUCCCAUAGGGCUCUGCUUCUCUGGGCUCAUUUUCCUCUACACACCCCAUUCCCAGAUAGGUUCCAGUCAUAAUGGCCUUCAUUCUGUUCCUUAAACUUGCUGAGCUUGUUUUUGUCCCUGUCUUUGCACUUACUGCUUUUCCUGCUGGCAGUGCUUUUUACCUGCAUAUCCCCUGCAUGGCUCCUUGUCAUUGUUCAAGUCUCAACUCAAAUGUCCCUUCUUUGGACAGGCCACCUGUGACCCAAGUUUGAGCAGUUUCCUUAAUCCAUCCCUAGUUCAGUUUUUAUUGCAUUUUUUACUUCAUAGAAAUGAUCAGAAUCUGAAAUGAUCAACUUAAUAGUUGAUGUAUUUUUUGUCUGUCUGUCCCCAGUGUGGACUCCCUGAGGUCACUGACAUUUUAUUAUUCACCUCUGCAUCUCAGUGCCUAGUAGAGAAGAUGGUGUAUAGGAAGCACUUAAAGAAUUUGUUGACUCAUUCACCACUUUGAGCCUAGCUUCCUUAUCUGUAAACCAAAGGUGUCAGGACAGGGGACCUCUGACCCUGCCCUACCUAGCCAGUUUUAAUUCUUAUCGUGUCUCUAAGCCCUCUGAUCCAGUCCAGUUGACCUCCUUAAGGUCCUAUAAAUGGACCAUGUUUAUUCAGAUCUUCAGGCCUUUGCUCAUUCUCUUCCCUCCUGAGUGUCCUUCUUUUUGGUCCUUGCUGGCUGCAUUUGUCAAUAAUUUUCCUUCUUCUCUUUUGACUCUACCCCUCAUAGAAGAGUAUAAUUGUUUUAUAUAUACAUGUCUUUCCUGUCCUAGUUGUUAGUCCUUAGGCAUAGGGCUAUGGUUUAUAGUCAUAACUCUUUUGAACCUCCUUGGUGAUAGCAUAUAGGAUAUACUCAGUACAUGCCUUAUAAUUCAAUAAGGGUGUGCUGUCUACCGAAAACACUGAUUUCAAAACAAUAAUCAUGCUUGGUCUGCUUACUAAUUUAUAUGGGAUAAAAAUAGAUUUUUUAAAAAAGCAACUAAACAGGUAUAUCUUUGUUAAGCCUGAGCUGGAGAAAAAAAAAUCUAAAAAUGGAAAUUUAAACUUCUGGUAUCAUGGUGUUUUGAAAACAUUUGUAAGCAACCUUACCAAAAGUUUUGUUAUAGAUUUUUAUUUCAUUUAAGUUUUUAUAUAUUCAUGAGUAGUUGAAAAAGGAAGUGAACAUUGUUUUUUAUUAACUCAGGUUAAAAACUUGAGUUUUUAAUUUGGUUCAGUUUGUUCAGGUAUUUGGAAUUUAGAGAAGCUCUGUGAAAAUAUCCCGCCUACACGUUUUGAAUAUCCUCUUCCUGCUUAUCUUCAGAACAGCUUGGUUCUUUUAAUAGCAAAUGGCUGAGUGGAGGGGAACCAUUUGCAGUGGGUCAAUUUAAGUAUGGUGUGUCCUCCCAUUUCAGACCGAAGUCAUGCUAACUGCUCAGGGAUUGGUGCAACUGUGUGUUUCUUUUGAUGUUGGUCAGAUCCCAGAAAACUCAGUAUUUUAGAAGGAUGUUGCUCAUUCCUUAGAUAAUUUGAAAAAUUAUUGGUCAACUUAAAAAAAUUCAGGAGCUAGGGAACACCUCAUCUAUUCUUUUUAUGAAUAUGUUAAUUUAUUAUUCUGUUGGAGGCUGUUCUUAAAAUUCCCAUGGGCCAGGAUAGGAAGAGGUAAUGGGGAGAAGGCUUGUUUUUUCAUGCAAUAUAUGAACCUAGCGCUAUAUGAUCAUGCCAGAUUCAGUAUACGCAAAUGGUGUAUUUCUCUCAAUCCAGAGUGGCUGGAAAAUGUGUGCUCAAAAUUGAGAAUAAUCAUAUAUUCCAUUCAUGGAUUAAUUGUUUUCAAAUAAUGUAGUCAAUUAUACUUACAAUGAUUUUUUAAGUUUUAAUAACAUAAAAGACACUUCGUAUAUGUAAGCCUGUGGUAAAUCAUGGUGUACCUCAUUUACUAGUCAAUAGUAUUGGUGUUCAAAAUAAUGGUGGUGAUUGGAUUAAUUCUCAGUCCAUCCCAGAAUUUGCUGUUUUGAAUAUACAGCUUGUUUUUAAGGUAUCCACUUCUUUUGGGAAAGUAGAGAUAAGAAAAAAGUCUGCUUCUUUAAAUGUCUUGUUUGGAUUGGGGGCACACAGCCAUUUUUUUUCUAGUGAGUAGAUAUAAAGGAUUUCCCAAAAGGUGGCUGUGGCUUCGCACAGGAGAGCUGGAGAGCUCUUGGUACAUAUACUGCUGAGUGUUGAAGGCAGGUGAGUCUGUUCUAUGUUUCUGUGCAGUGGGCUCUUGCUGGGGUCAAAGCUGUGUGGUGUCUGUAAAAAAGGGUUGCUGUGUAAUGCUUUAGAAUUGGAAUUGCAGAUUCUUCUUGUGAGGGGAAUAUUGCUGUUAUGGGUAAAAGUUGUGUCUUAUGGUUGCCCUUGUGACCUUGUUAGAUCCUUUGGAUAAUUAAAACUUCCAGAAGUUGGGAUUGUAGAUGCUGGGAAUGUAGAAAAACAAUAGUCAAAUCAGUCAAAAAGGUGCUAACCAUUGGGAUAAUACACUGAAAAGCAUCCAGUGGGAAAUUUAUGAAUUGUAAAAAACCCAAUACUGCAUGAAAUCAUAACUUCCUUUUAUGACCCUCAAUCGUGGCCAUUAAAGGGCUAACUUCUGUUACAGAAAAGAGGUAGCUAGUUAGUUCAUAUCUCUGGGUUUAGAUAAAUCACAGUAUCUCUCUUAGUUUUGGUUUGGCAGGAUGUCUUGGACCUUUUCCUUUGGUUUCCUUUGGUUGUUAGAUAAAGACAUGUGAGGAUGGACUCUGUGACUGCAUGGUUUUCUUCCGGGUGAGCUCACUGGCUUGCCACCGCCCAGAUUUAUCAGCAGCUGGAGUUUCACCUAAUAGUAUGGUUUGCUCCAACCAUUUGCUGGAGCAGAAAAAGAUGGCAUCAACUUAUAUUUUAAAAUAAACUGACUUUGAAAGGUUUUAUGAAAUCACGGUCCAUUUUGAUUAGUUUUUGCCAACAGCUGCCUGCAUUUAGGCUUUGUUCUUUGUUGGACAUAACUGUUUAGGAAAGAUUGCUGCUUUAUGGAAGCGAUUCCAAAGACUCAUUGUUCCAGACAUCGGACAUCCUUAUGUUAUUCAGGUCUGAUGAUAUUUGAUCUAACGCAGAUUAAUUACUAAGCUCUCAGUGAAUAAUUAACCAUUUGACCUGUUCCCAAGUUAUAUACUCACUGAGUUAGAAAUGAUUUCCCCAACUACUAAAGAUAAGGAAGGUUAUUCCUGGUUUCACAGUGUCCCCAUUGUUACUGACUUGUAUGUGUGAGAGACAUCAGCUGAUACCUACGCACUGGUCCAGCUACUCAGUCAAACCACUUCCUGGGGUUUUCUCGGGUAAUGGCAGUGAUUCAGAAGACACCACAGAACUUUCUGAGGACUGUUCCCUGUGUGUUACUCUGGGCUGAAUGACUGGGAACUGUCAAGUUCAAAAGGAACAUUUUUUGUUGUAGUGCUAUUAAAUUUGUGGUUUGCUUUUGCUCAAAGUUGCAUUUCAGCUGAAUUUAGGGUGGCUUGUCUGUGUGCCAUUUAUUUUAUAGUACCUAAUUUCCAUCAAUUAACCAUUUCAUGCCUUAGUUGAGUCCCUUAUAAAGUCCUGUAUUAAGCCUGGAGGGGAUAGGCAAACUAAGUCAUUAUAACUGCCUGCAGUGGCUAGUAGUAAUUAGGGAGAGGAGAGAUAAAAAUGGAUGGGGGCCAAAUAGGGUAUUAAUGCAAACAUUGUACUUUUCUACUUAUGUAUUUUUGUGAUUUUUUUUUUUUACUUCUG
rnacentral:lncRNA from 1 species